CUGGUUCUUCUAGAGAUGUUGGUCCUCAGGAGCAGGAACUAGCUUGUGUAUAAAAGCUGAAGAGUCAAAGACAUUUUAACAUUGUCUGGAGUCUAUCCAUUGAUUUAUUGGUGAAGUCAGUUUUGACAUCUGCUAACAAUACAACAUGUCUGGAGUCAAGGGUGGACAUGGUGGCCAACACCACCAACAACAACACUGCAAGGACCCCUGCAAGGACCCAUGCCAGAACCCCUGCAAGGACCCAUGCCAGAACCCCUGCAAGGACCCAUGCCAGGACCCCUGCAAGGACCCAUGCCUGAACCCCUGCAAGGACCCAUGCCAGAACCCCUGCAAGGACCCAUGCCAAAAGCUGGACCCAUGCAAAGACCCAUGCCAAAAGCUGGACCCAUGCAAAGAUUGUGAGUAGCAAUUUAUCUACUUGAACACCUCUGUUACACACACAUUUGCCUAGUAUAAAGAAUAAUGAAUAAUAAUAUAAUAAAUGUACACCAACAUCAAAGUAACCCCUAGAUAUAUCUAGAAACAUUUUCAUAGUCAUUUACUAAAUUUGGGUGAAAACCCAAAUGAUCCCAAAAUUUUGAAUAUAGAAAAUCUAUGAUAUGGUUAAUCUUAGCAAUACUUGUUUAUAAGUUUCAUUAUUCACAGUUUUAUGCCAGUUGUGAUCACAGUUACUCAGCAUUGAAACUAACUAAGAUGACUCCGUAAUUCACUUAGGAGGCUCCACACAGCCAGAAAAUAAGAACCAUUUCAAGAGAUUGUGUAGUAUUUGUUAAAGGAAUGGGAUUUAUUUACGUAGAUCAAAUGUCACGAUAAUUGUGUACUAACAGACUUAGUCACUAAGUUAUAAAUUUAUCUGACAUUUUAGGGUCAAGUAGGAGAAUUCUCCAUGUUAGCUAAGUUUUCAGACAGUUAUUUUCUAUGCACUUUGAAUUCUUGACAAUUUUCCCUUUAGUGAAUAACCCUGGGUUGCUUUAUAAAUUAAUCACAAGAUUUCAAAAAAGCAGAGUUUCCUUGUGGUUUGAUCAACUUAAUACCCAGCUUUGAUCGAUACACUGGACAUUUAUUCCAUGUCAAUUCAGUAACAUUUGUUUAUAAAAACCAUAAGUCGCCAACUCAAAAGAACAUAUUUUGGUUCACUGGAAAGUUCUUAAAACCUAAAAAUAAAAAUGUUAAUAUUAGUUCCCCUAAAUGCUCAGGCUAUAAGUGACAUAUUAACGAUGUGCUAUUAUUUUAGCAUGCACACUGGUGCAGUGCUACGAUCAGAAACCACAAUGCCAUAAGCGCGGUAAGUUUCAUCUUUCGUGAGUUACCAGACUCAACAAGCUGUUUUCCUGGAAACAUAUCGUUUCAUUAACCACAAAUGACAAAUUGAUAGGCAACACCUGAAAAAUGCUGCCCUGCAGUAUAAAGCAAUCUAAUGCUGCAGGCAUGAAAUCUAGUCAUUAGAGAAAAAGAAUUCCUGUAUUGUAUGAAUUCCGUACAUCCUUUACAUUUUGCAGCAGUACUUAUCUGAACAUUUUCUAUAUCACUGCCUAUGAUAACUUCUACACAGAUUCCAGAGCUUAUUGCAAUUAUUACAUUAUACAGCAGAAAGAAUUGAGUAUUUUAGCCAUGACAAUUAUAUUUCCAUUUUAUUUUUCUCACUUUCUAAGUCUUUAUUUCCCGGUUCUCCCUUUCCACUCCUUGCCUUUGUUCUUCUACUCCUUCAAAGGAAAUAUAUUUCUUUUAUAAUCACAUAACAGUAAAACAAUAUCACAGUGUUUGUUGGACAUAGAAUGCUUAAGAAGAUACCAUUAUGAUAUCAUUAUGAGCCUAACUGUAUGUACUGAUUUAAUUUCUUUACCGAGUUAAAGCGGAUCUAUCACUCCACUAUUUCAUAAAGAUAUAUUCAUUAAAAUUCCAACGCAAUCCACACAUACCAUAAGACAAAAUAUGGACUACUUUGUCUUGUGGUAAAACCUGAGGCUGACAAAAGGCAAAGCUCCAUUUCCAACUUCUGUCCAAUCCCUGCAGCCAUCACAAAUGAUGGCUGUGGGAUUUAGGCUCUGUCUAUGAAGGAUCUCGUGGUCUUACAUAAUCCUCCAUAAACCUCAAGGUUGUACUCUUAUGCAUGAGCAAGUGUAUAACACGGACAUGACUCCUGGCAACUGAAGUGCCAGGAUCUGAAGAGGAAAGCAGGAUGAAGAGUGCAGCCGCCAGGGAUAGUCUGUGAUAAAUAAAAUAGAAACAUAGAAUGUGGAGGCAGAUAAGAACCAUUUGGCCCAUGUAGUCUGCCCAAUUUUCUAAAUACUUUCAUUAGUCCCUGACCUUAUCUUAUAGUUGGGAUAAGAUAAACUACCUCCCCUGUUUCUCACGGCCACCAGACUCACAUUGAUCUGGCAGCUUUGGGGAAAUUGGCAACCAAUGCAAAGAUCCCUGAAAAUGACAGGUCCAGUUUAACUGUGGAUCACGACUCCAAUGUAUAGCACUUAGUGAUAUUAAUAAGUAUGAUAACUGACUGCUCAGUCCAUUCAAAGGAUCUGUCAUUCACAAUCUAGUUUAUUUGAGAUUAGUUUAUGUAUCAGUUCAACUAACUAAGGCAGCCAUUGGUUGACAUAAGCUGUAAUUUUACAGCAAAAUCUUGUGAUCCCUUAACUGGUAUAGGGAUGUAGAAGUUUAGUCACUCACGUUCCUGGAACCAUGUAGCUAUGAGGGGUUUUCAUAGACAGGAACACAAACUCAUUAGCUGUUCCAAGUUGAGCUCCUCGGUUACCAUAUUUGUGGGAUAGUUGUUGUUUCUAAAUUUGUUUAACUAAGGUUUGAAAGUGCUGUCCAACAGUCUGUAGAAUCCAUGUGCUCCCAGUGUGAAAUCAAUUACAGGAGUUCUGCCUAAAAAAAUUAGAAUUUAUGUUUCCUGCAAAAAACGUGCAAAUUGACAACCCCAUUACCUUCAUGCUCUAAUGGAACCUGUCCAUAAUCGUUCUAGUGCUUCUGGAGAUUAAUUUUCAAAUGGGCUUCAACCCACCAUGACAUAUAGUAGUGAAUGUAAUAAAUAGAUUAACAAUUUAAUAUGGAAGUAAAAAACAUUCUCACUGUAACCUGCUCUUGUUGUGUAUACACAGAUCCCUGCGACCCAUGCCCACCCGACCCUUGCAAGACCCAGUCUGGAUACAGAAAGUGACGCUUCGUAUCGAAUGGAAGCAUCUCAUCAGAAGAACAAUACUUUCCUGUAACGGCUUUGCAUUUUAAGAAAUAUUCACUAUUUGUCAAUGUGUCCAAAACCUACCCAAUCCCUGGCAAUGCAUGUAAUCAUAUCUCAUUCUUCUGAAAUUCUUCAUUAAACUUGCUGAAUACCA